CAAUAGCGUAUAUUUAAGUUGCUGCAGUUAAAAAGCUCGUAGUUGGAUUUCGGGUGGGAAUGGCCGGUCCGCCGUUUCGGUGUGCACUUGCUACGCCCACCUUGCUGCCGGGGACGUGCUCUUGAGUUCACGCUCGGGACACGGAGUCGGCGAGGUUACUUUGAGUAAAUUAGAGUGUUCAAAGCAGGCCUACGCUCUGAAUACAUUAGCAUGGAAUAACACGAUAGGACUCUGGCCUAUCUUGUUGGUCUGUAGGACCGGAGUAAUGAUUAAGAGGGACAGUCGGGGGCAUUCGUAUAUCAUUGUCAGAGGUGAAAUUCUUGGAUUUAUGAAAGACGAACUACUGCGAAAGCAUUUGCCAAGGAUGUUUUCAUUAA
rnacentral:rRNA from 1 species